rnacentral:rRNA from 1 species
UACGUAAGAGACUAGUGUUAUUCAUCUUAAUUAGGUUUAAAGGGUACCUAGACGGUCAAUAUAGCUUCUAGAAUGUUAGUACUUGACUAGAGUUUUAUGUAAGAGGGCAGUACUUGAGGAGGAGAGAUGAAAUUCUAUGAUACCAAAGGGACUCGGUAAAGGCGAAGGCAGCCCUCUAUGUAGAAACUGACGUUAAAGGACGAAGGCACAGAGCACAAACAGG